UGGAAACAAAGCAGAGGCAUGUGUUACAGGGCGUCUCUUCUCCACCCACCGGCUGCCUGGCUCUCAAGGUCAAGACAGGCUUCAAGGGACUGUGGCCAGUUACAAAGGAAGAUGAUGUGGUCACCGUCCGUGAGAAAUCUGUGGCCUGGAGGGUGCCACCCCCAGCCCAGAGGCCUGCCUUCGGAUCCAGCCACCCCCUGCCAUUGCUACUGCCCCCUGGUGCCCAGACACAGUCAGAGGGCUUGAGGAGGCAGCCGUGCAGGAGAGGCCAUGUGGACCCCGGGGAGAAGACAGCUGCCUUUGAGCCAGAAGACAGCCCUUACUCACUCCCCAAGUGGCAACAUUAAAUGCAGAAUUCCCAUUAUGUGAGCCCA